rnacentral:tRNA from 3 species
GUCCCGUUCGUCUAGAGGCCUAGGACACUGCCCUUUCACGGCGGCGACAGGGGUUCGAAUCCCCUACGGGACGCCA